rnacentral:tRNA from 1 species
GCCGGCGUAGCUCAAUGGCAGAGCAACUGAUUUGUAAUCAGUAGGUUGUCCGUUCGACUCGGAUCGCCGGCUCCA